UAAAUUGUUGACUACACAGACAUAACAAAACACAGCUAUAUCGUUAUAUUACCAGAUGUCAUCAAUAACUAAUAGCUAUUGACUAAAAGAUGCUUCUUUAAUGGAAUCCUGCCUACCCCCCCCUUUAAGUGUAACAUGUAAAGACAAAGGUAGUUUCAUAUAUAAUUGCUGUCCGGCUCAGUUUGAUCAAAAAGACUCUUCAGUUCAAGACAAGUGAUCAGCAGAGGGGGGUGGGAAGAGUCACAGCAGAUCAGUUCUGUGCUGUGGGUCUGUCUGUAUCAUAAUUGUGUGUUUCCACCCCGGUUUGCUUCAGUUCAGUUCAGCACCAGUAAAGCGUUUCGAAAAAAGAAGUGACAGGAUGUGCUGCGUCACCUCUUCUUGCAAACACUGCAAACAUUGGUGAGCCAAGGUAGCCGGUUUCUGGAGACUUAAAAGUCUAAUGCUGUCCCGUUCUCGCCUGGUGUAGGAUUCCAGCUGCUCAGUACUAUUUUCACUUUUUAUUUCAUGACGCUCCAAAUGAUUUCAAUGGGUGAAAAAAAUCAGGACUUUAGGCAAGGCAGUUUUCAUGCUGUUGUAUUACCCUCAGAAUGUGGUUUAGUAUUAUCUUGCUGAAAUGUGCAAGGUCUGUCUGGCUACUGAACUCGACGCUGAUAACAAUCAGGUUGGUCCCUGACCUCUUCGGAGCAAAGAAAAGAGCGUUCAUGAUUUCCUAAAAGAAUGUCAAAAGUCAAUUUGACAGACCACUGUACAGCUGUCCACUUUGCCAUCUUAAAUCCAUCUCAGAUGAGCUCCUCUUUAAACGGUUUCCUCUUUUGCGUGGUACGGUUUAACCUGCGUUUGUUAAUGCAGUGUCGGACUGUGUUCACAGUCAAUAGGUUUGAAAUUGAUUUUAAAUCUGUUCAGUGAUUUCCCACUGAGUCAUUUCUGUUUUCAAUACGGUUCCUCCUGAGGGUCCAAAGGUCAUGGCCACAUUGAGGGUGCAUUUGUUGGAGAUGUGCGGUACAGAAAAAAAAAAAAAAAGAAAAUCAAUUAAAUCCGAUAUUGGUUUUUAGCCUCCGUCUUUUUAGCGCUUUUUUUUUCUCACAUCUUUUUCAUUUUUUGCUUUUUUAUUUCACGUUGUCUUGACACUAUUUCUAGUCAAAUAAAGGGUUGAAAUGAUUAGCUUAUCAUCAGAAUCAUGUUUUAUCCACAUUAAUAUUAGAAAACCCACACUUAAUGUGGCAGCUUUUUAGAAAUUGGGUUUGUUUGAUAUCCUCUGACGGCCCCAGUGAAGCCACUAACCCACCC